UCCUCUCUAGCUCAGUGGUAGAGCGACUGACUGUUAAUCAGUUUGGCGCUGGUUCAAUUCCGGCGAGAGGA
rnacentral:tRNA from 1 species